AGCUGAUCCUUGGUGUAAUCUCACCUCCACCUUGAAUGAACCUGUCAUUCCUACUGCACAUCUCACCACUGUUAUACUGUCCUUGAACAUGUCCUGCUCUACCGUCACAUACUUCUCUGUCACUCCAUACAUCCUCAUAUAAUACCACAACUCUUUUCUUGGCACCCUGUCAUAACCUUUCUCUAACUCCACAAACACACAAUGUAACUCCUUCUGGCCUUCUCUAUACUUCUCCAUCAGUAUUCUCAUGGCAAACAUUGCAUCUGCAGUGCUCUUUCUUGACAUGAAAACAUAUUGCUGCUCAUGGAUCUUCACCUGUUUUCUCAGGCUAGCUUCUACCACUCUUUCCCAUAACCUCAUGCUUGUUGCCACUGUAGUUCCUGCAG